GUUGGAUGCAAAACGGAAUGAUUGAACGAGGGCUUGGGCCCUGGUGACCGCGGGAGAACAAGGCCGGAGGAGUGCGCAGGCGCUGACCGAGGUACCGGCGCGCAGGUCCCGCCCGCAUCCCGCCUCUCCUUCCGGUUCCUACACCCUCGCCCCGCCCCGCUUAGCCGACGCUGCGCCUGCGCACUUGACUAGACUGGCCUGCUGGUAAGUUGGAAGGGCCUGGUCACCCUUCCGGCUGACGCAGCUCUCGCCCCGACUGGCGCUCGCCGCCGCGUCGCCGGGCAGCCACGGGUUCGAGUUUCCUGACCUGACCACGGAUUGAACGUGUGCCCCCUGAGAACAGCAGUGAGAGAGUUCGCCAGACUGGCCACAUAGGCACGAGAUACUGGAACUCACAUGGUACAUUCAGGUCUGGUCUCGGCUUCGCACAAACCACCGCUUUCCUUGAUGACAGGCUUGCCACACUCUGGUGGCCCUUAGGCAUCCGCGACAGAUACUCAGAUCAACUGAGAACACAAAGUGAAAUCCUGUAACUUCUCACUGGUUUGUCCUCACGCCGAGGCCCGUACUGCUCCUGGAGUGGCGACCUGCUUCAUUCCUUUUCUCCCAACUCCGAAAAUUUGAGCUUACUGUUGGCAGGUGCCUGGACAAACUGUGAGAUGGGCCGGACAUCAGAGGACAAGCAGGAUGUCUAUCACCGCCUCGCCAAGGAGAACGGCUGGCGUGCCCACAGCGCCUUCAAGCUGCUGCAGCUGGACGAGGAGUUUCACCUCUUCCAAGGCGUGACGCGGGCCGUUGACCUGUGCGCGGCCCCGGGCGGCUGGAGCCAGGUGCUCAGUCAGAAGACUGGGGGCCAGGGCUCUGGCCACGUGGUGGCUGUGGAUCUGCAGGCUAUGGCCCCACUCCCAGGCGUGGUACAGAUCCAGGGGGACAUCACCCAGCUGUCCACUGCCAAGGAGAUCGUCCAGCACUUUGAGGACUGCCCCGCGGACCUAGUGGUGUGCGAUGGGGCCCCUGAUGUGACCGGCCUCCACGACGUCGACGAGUAUAUGCAGUCCCAGCUCCUCCUAGCUGCUCUGAACAUUGCUACACACGUUCUGAAGCCAGGGGGCUGCUUUGUGGCCAAGAUCUUCCGAGGCCGGGAUGUGACACUGAUCUACAGCCAGCUGCGUGUCUUCUUCUCCAGUGUGCUCUGUGCCAAGCCCAGGAGCAGCCGGAACGCCAGCAUUGAGGCCUUUGCUGUCUGUAAGGGUUAUGACCCUCCUGAGGGCUUCCUGCCCGACCUGACCAAGCCGCUACUGGACCACUCUUACGAUCCAGAUUUCAACCAAUUAGAUGGCCCCACCCGCAUCAUCGUGCCGUUUGUGACCUGUGGGGUCCAGAGCGCCUAUGAUUCAGACUGCAGUUACCCACAGGACCUAGAAGACGGCUCAGAGUAGACUCCACCCACUCAGCCCACACCCUCUCACCAUCGUACCAGGAGGCCUGAGUAUUGAAGAAGAAGGGGCGGCUGGCCAAGGAGGUCUGCCCCCAGGACUACCCCAUCAGCACAGUGGCCACAUUGCCCCCAUCCCUGGCCGCCCUGCAGGUCACACCCUGUUGACCUCUGAGGUGGAAGACAGUGAAAUGAAUUGUUCCCCUUAACAUGUUAACUAAGCUGGCAAUCUGAUAAGGACUUGGAAGCUGUUUGCUGUUCAAGGAAAACUAUUACUUGAGUUGAUGAACCUGUUUUCAAAUACAUCGUCAGCGAGUCCUGAACAUAAAGGCUCCAAGUGGGAACCUCCAGCAACCACCACAAACACAGCAAGGACAGAAACAUCACAGAACGUGUGUCUGUACUGCAGAGGGGAUUCUUGAAUAGGGUCUUGCCUCUUCUCUAAAUCUUUGCAGCCGUGUGUCCUGAAUGUGUCCAGAAUUUACUCUGAAAGCAGUUCUUCUAAACCCUGGUAGAGGUCAGCGGUAUCGGUGAACUUAGUGGAAGAAAAUAUUACAUCUUUAUUUUCACAGAUAUAGCUGAAAUUUUAGCUUUACUCUGGAUCUGAAUGCUGGCAGCGAAUCAUGACAGUAAAAGCAAUGCCUGCAACUUUCCCAUGACUACAGAUCAGUUACUUUUUUGUGUUGUGUUACAGUUGUGGGCAUCUUAAAAUGUUGUUCAUGUUGGCCACUACUUUGAAUAAGAUCUCAAAAUUAGAUGUACUGAUUUUUAAAAGUUCAUAUAUUUAAAAAACAGCAGUGAGAUACAAGGAUGCACCUGUUAGACUGGCUCAACAGUGAAGACCUUGGCUCCUGAGGAUGUAGGACAGCCCAUUCUCGCGCUCUGUUGGUGGGCACCUGAAAGUGUAAAGCCUCUUUGGAAGCAGUUUGUUUGAUUUAAACCAUCAUUUACUCUCUGACCCAGCAAGCUUACUUCUCACUGUUCACACAAGAGGAGUGAAAACAGGCAUUUACAUAGUCACCUGUAUGCAAACAUUUAGAGCAGCUUUAUU